rnacentral:rRNA from 1 species
AUUGAACGCUGGCGGAAUGCUUUACACAUGCAAGUCGAGCGGCAGCGCGGCCUUCGGGCUGGCGGCGGGCGGCGAACGGGUGAGUAAUGCAUCGGAACAUGCCCAGUCGUGGGGGAUAACACUUCGAAAGAAGUGCUAAUACCGCAUACGUCCUGAGGGGGAAAGCGGGGGAUCGCAAGACCUCGCGCGAUUGGAGUGGCCGAUGUCAGAUUAGCUAGUUGGUGGGGUAAAGGCCUACCAAGGCGACGAUCUGUAGCUGGUCUGAGAGGAUGAUCAGCCACACUGGGACUGAGACACGGCCCAGACUCCUACGGGAGGCAGCAGUGGGGAAUUUUGGACAAUGGGGGCAACCCUGAUCCAGCCAUUCCGCGUGAGUGAAGAAGGCCUUCGGGUUGUAAAGCUCUUUCGGCAGGAACGAAACGGUGGGCUCUAACAUAGUCCGCUAAUGACGGUACCUGAAGAAGAAGCACCGGCUAACUACGUG